rnacentral:rRNA from 1 species
GGCGGCAGGCCUAACACAUGCAAGUCGAGCGGAAACGAGUUAUCUGAACCUUCGGGGAACGAUAACGGCGUCGAGCGGCGGACGGGUGAGUAAUGCCUGGGAAAUUGCCCUGAUGUGGGGGAUAACCAUUGGAAACGAUGGCUAAUACCGCAUAAUAGCUUCGGCUCAAAGAGGGGGACCUUCGGGCCUCUCGCGUCAGGAUAUGCCCAGGUGGGAUUAGCUAGUUGGUGAGGUAAGGGCUCACCAAGGCGACGAUCCCUAGCUGGUCUGAGAGGAUGAUCAGCCACACUGGAACUGAGACACGGUCCAGACUCCUACGGGAGGCAGCAGUGGGGAAUAUUGCACAAUGGGCGCAAGCCUGAUGCAGCCAUGCCGCGUGUAUGAAGAAGGCCUUCGGGUUGUAAAGUACUUUCAGCAGUGAGGAAGGCGGGUACGUUAAUAGCGUGCUCGUUUGACGUUAGCUGCAGAAGAAGCACCGGCUAACUCCGUGCCAGCAGCCGCGGUAAUACGGAGGGUGCGAGCGUUAAUCGGAAUUACUGGGCGUAAAGCGCAUGCAGGUGGUUUGUUAAGUCAGAUGUGAAAGCCCGGGGCUCAACCUCGGAAUAGCAUUUGAAACUGGCAGACUAGAGUACUGUAGAGGGGGGUAGAAUUUCAGGUGUAGCGGUGAAAUGCGUAGAGAUCUGAAGGAAUACCGGUGGCGAAGGCGGCCCCCUGGAC